rnacentral:rRNA from 1 species
UGGCGGACGGGUGAGUAACGCGUGGGUAACCUGCCCCAUACAGGGGGAUAACAGCCGGAAACGGCUGCUAAUACCGCAUGCACAUGCCGGGGGCGCAUGCCCCUGCAUGGAAAGCUUUCGCGGUAUGGGAUGGGCCCGCGUCUGAUUAGGCAGUUGGCGGGUAACGGCCCACCAAACCGACGAUCAGUAGCCGGCCUGAGAGGGCAACCGGCCACAUUGGGACUGAGACACGGCCCAAACUCCUACGGAAGGCAGCAG